rnacentral:tRNA from 1 species
GUGCUGUAGCUCAGGUGGUAGAGCAAUGGACUGAAAAUCCAUGUGUCGCUGGUUCAACUCCCGCCAGCACC